UGCAUUUCUCUCACAAAAUUGCAACGGAGGCAAAUGUUCCCUUACAUCUUUUUAUCCUCCUCUCUCUCUCUCUCUCUCAAAAAAUCUUGAACGAGACUGUGAGCAGUGGUGACUGUGAGGAAGAAGCACAAGGAAGGUUUGAAGGAGGCACUUGUAAAACGUUUGGAUGCUCUCACCGACAAGAUCGGAGGGAAUGUUGUGUUGCAGCUUGUUAGCACCGAUAUGGAUCCAAAAACGACUUUGAUGAUGAUGAGCAGUACCGUGAGAACCCCUCCUCCUCCUCCUCCUUAAGCCGUCGGGCCAGUUUGGUUGAGAGGAAAUCGCUUCUUCCUGCUGUGGCGGCAUCCACCCGGAUGUCGUCUGCGCUGAUUCGGCGGCUGGGGAUUGGGAGGUCACGGCUCAGGUCCAGGGAUUUCAAGAACAUGUCCAUUUUCGCCACAAUUGACAAGACGUGGCGUAAAACAGUUGACAGGGCUUCAAAGUUCUUCUUGGAGAUGCAUUACAACCAGCACAAGCGCUUGACAAAUGAUAUUGCUUAGACCAAGCUAUUUCACACUGUGGAAAUUUUUAUAUGACCUGGGGUGUUGGGAAGGAAGGUUUGGCCCUUGUGCACUACUAGCGUCUAACUUAUAUUUACUUAUUCUUGUAUAUGUAUUUUAUCACCACAGCAAAAUAAUUGUUGUAUUUUGUGUCAUACAAAUUAAGUUUUUUACCCUCAAAGUUGUCUUUUAUGGAGCUGUGUGAUUUAAAUUGGCCAUCCAAUUUUUCCAUUAUGAUUUAUAAAAUCCAGUAAACAUUUUACUGUGGAAAUUUUUAUCUGACCUGGCGUGUGGUAGGGGGAGUCUCUUUCCAGUAAACAUUGUGUGAUUUAAAGUGUCUCUUUCCAACUUAGUUUUCAAAGCGGGAGUCCCGUGCUAGUGCCGUAAGUUUUCACAACUCGCGUUGGUCACUCCCAAAGUGUUUGAGGUGUUCCUGGCCCUUCUUGCCACUGUUACAUAAUUUUGGCCCCCCGAUGGCCUACUUCCAAGCUUAAGUGUUAGAAAAUUGUAUUUUCCGACCUAGUUUUUAAACCGGG